rnacentral:rRNA from 1 species
CCUACGGGAGGCAGCAGUGGGGGAUAUUGCACAAUGGGGGAAACCCUGAUGCAGCGACGCCGCGUGAGUGAAGAAGUAUUUCGGUAUGUAAAGCUCUAUCAGCAGGGAAGAAAAUGACAGUACCUGACCAAGAAGCCCCGGCUAACUACGUGCCAGCAGCCGCGGUAAUACGUAGGGGGCAAGCGUUAUCCGGAUUUACUGGGUGUAAGGGGAGCGUAGGCGGUUAUGUAAGUCUGGAGUGAAAGCCCGGGGCCCAACCCCGGGACUGCUUUGGAAACUGUGUGACUGGAGUACAGGAGGGGCAGGCGGAAUUCCUGGUGUAGCGGUGAAAUGCGUAGAUAUCAGGAGGAACACCGGCGGCGAUGGCGGCCUACUGGACUGAAACUGACGUUGAGGCUCGAAAGCGUGGGGAGCAAACAGGAUUAGAUACCCGAGUAGUC